CACCACUUGCGGUUGAAGCUGCCAGCAUGAUCUAAACUUGCCUUAGCUUCCGAUAUUAUAUAUAAGGGAAGAUUGGAUCAUCUGGCAGCUUCAACUGUUGUUGGA
rnacentral:pre_miRNA from 1 species